ACACCAUGGGAGUGGGUUGCAAAAGAAGUAGGUAGCUUAACCUUCGGGAGGGCGCUUACCACUUUGUGAUUCAUGACUGGGGUGAAGUCGUAACAAGGUAACCGUAGGGGAACCUGCGGUUGGAUCACCUCCUUACCU
rnacentral:rRNA from 1 species